AAAAAAAAAAAAAGAAAAAAAUAGCAAGUCAUUUUUGUUUGGCCAGCGUUGCAUGAGGAAUCAGCGGUGUUUCGUGAUCGCGUAAUCGUCGAGCUCGACCUGUUAAGCUUCCGAUUGCGCGGCCUCCGAAUGCCACAUGCCCCGUGGACUCGCGACGCGAGGAUCGCAGGGAUCACGAACAUUGUUGCCUGCUGAAUUUGGCUUCAACCGUGGCCAUGAAUGAUUGACUUCGAUUCAUGAUUGCGCGCGUUCGAUCGAUGACGAGCAAAUUGUAAUUGAGCGCACGUAGCCUCUCGAGUUGGAGCGGCUAUGAAACUAAUUUUCCACUUUGAAAACACGACGCGUUACGAGCGUGGCGGAUUUUACUAGAGGAUUUUUUGGCAGUGCAACGGGUACGACGGAAUUUUAUCACGUGGAAAGUUUUAGCACGUCCAGACACUUGGUUGGCUAUUUUUAAAAUGCCUGAUACUCGCCGCCACCUUCUAAUCUUUUUUGAUUUAUCUCGACACCUCGGCCCCUCAAUCUCAAUUAAUCGGCAUCUCCGCGUUUCGCUAAUGAGCUUAAAGUGAGCUGUGUACGUGUUUGGCAUUUUAUGGCCAUUCGGUUCUCUUUCUCCGUCGGUUCGCUC